CAUAGCGUGGAUCGAGCAGGUUUUUUCUUCUUUUUAAGAAAGCGUGCAAAACCAGGUCCUUGGCCUUUAAAUCUGGUCUGCGUCUUAUGAUUGGUCCAUCGGUACAUGCAUAUUUUGAAGUUACCAAUUUAUUUUACAUUCAGGCGGCUUUCUCAUUAAACUGAAAUAAACAGCAUAAGUAUAGAGGAAAUUUCAACAUUCGAAGUCUUAGACAAGAUGGUUAGAAUGGUUCUAGUUGGUGAAAUUUCCCAUCGGAGACGCAAUGUUAACCGAAAAGCAACUAGACCCCCAAAACGGCGGAAACAAACAACGAAAAAUGCAAAAUCCGUACGAAAGAGGACAGGGCGCCGUGUUGGAAACGUUUUUGUAUCGAGGUUUUUGGGCUUUUACUGGUAGAAGAACUACAAGAAAAUAAGCAAUCUUUGAUAGCUUUUCUGGUUUAAAAAGAAGAACUGGAACGAUAAAAUGAUCCGGAAAAUAGUCAAACUGUAUGAUGGAUGCAUUCAGUGUAGAAUAAAUUGACCAAAUCAA